ensembl:snoRNA SNORA75 Small nucleolar RNA SNORA75
GUCUUCUCAUGAGCACCGCUCUGUCCAACAGUGGCAGUGUACGGAUUCGCAUGAGAAGUAGAGCAAACUCGCAGUUAAACAGGCAGCUACCUUAGUGGGAGUUGCCCAUGUCUGAUGUGAAACACAA